GGGCGCGCUGGCGGAGGCAUCCGUGCUGCGGCCCUCGGAGGGCGGCCCGCCGGACGCCGCGCGGCUCGACGCCGCCGCGGCCUCC
rnacentral:tRNA from 1 species